rnacentral:lncRNA from 1 species
GUGAAUCUGAUUGAAGAUCCUCUAAAGGUUUAUAUGCCUUCAAGAUUUUGCGCUCAAGUUUUGAAGAUUCUGAAGAACAAGAUCUCAAGACUCUGAAGACCAGAUUUUGAGGAACUAUGUCAAGACUCUAAAGACCAAGGUUUUGAAGAUUCUAUCAUCUUGUCUCUUGAUCCUUCUAAGCAUGCUUCAACAUCAUUUCAUCAGAAGCCUCUAAAGAUUUGAAGAUAAGAUCAAAAGGUUUUGC